GCAUAAUACUGUCUGCUAUUCGUUUUCUUGCAUAAACACCAAUAGCAGUAAUGGUCCACUUAUUACCACAACCGUGGGCAGAAAAUAUUCAGAAAAAUGGAGCCAGUGAAUAGUACUGUAACCAUGGCAACAAUUGUCUGGUGUCUUGCACGUGCACAUCCAGCAUGGAAUGAGAAGACACAAGCCUUUGGACUCCGGGGGAUAAACUGUCUGAACACCAAUGACUUACCUUCUGCUUUUUCUCGGCUCUCCAAAAAGAGUGAGUUGCAAAGAAAAUGGGUGAAAGGUGGAAAGAAGAUGAAAGAAGUGAGGAAAAGAGGUGCCCUUACAGAAAAGUCACUAAUCUCAGCGGGAAGAUGGCGUGGGACUGAAUCAAGAGCACAGAUCCUUUUCAGAGGAAGAGGACCACACUUGAGAUUUUCCUGGGUUUAAAAAGAAAAAAAAAAAAAAAAAGAAAGAAAAGAAAAAUACAAGGAGAAACUUUAGCUGUCUUAGGUGUGCUAGCCACCAAAGGAGAGCAGAAAAGAGAAAGACAAGGAUGUCAAGCAGCCGGGGCUGUCGAGAAAUUAAGGAUAACAAGUUGUAAGUUAACAGAGAGGCUCACCUUACCUAGAACAGUCACCUUCAGUAUCCUACCCAGUAUGAAUCUACCUACCCCUCCCAACAAUGGCUCUCUUGUCUGUUCCUGUCAGAACUGUGAGUUCAACUUUGAAAUAUGGAUUGCUAUUCUUCUUCUGUUUUUCUUCCAAAUACUUGUUCACAACUCUUUCGCCUUUAAAACUAUCAGUCCUGAUCCCACUUCUUGUUUUCUUCAGCACUAAAUCUUUUUUCACACCUUUAGAAUUGCUGAAUUAUUAUACAGGAAAUCAUAGCUUUAAUCUUC
rnacentral:lncRNA from 12 species